rnacentral:rRNA from 1 species
GAAAGAUGGCUUCGGCUAUCACUUCUGGAUGGUCCCGCGGCGUAUUAGCUAGAUGGUGAGGUAACGGCUCACCAUGGCAAUGAUACGUAGCCGACCUGAGAGGGUAAUCGGCCACAUUGGGACUGAGACACGGCCCAAACUCCUACGGGAGGCAGCAGUAGGGAAUCUUCCACAAUGGACGAAAGUCUGAUGGAGCAACGCCGCGUGAGUGAAGAAGGGUUUCGGCUCGUAAAACUCUGUUGUUAAAGAAGAACAUAUCUGAGAGUAACUGUUCAGGUAUUGACGGUAUUUAACCAGAAAGCCACGGCUAACUACGUGCCAGCAGCCGCGGUAAUACGUAGGUGGCAAGCGUUGUCCGGAUUUAUUGGGCGUAAAGCGAGCGCAGGCGGUUUUUUAAGUCUGAUGUGAAAGCCUUCGGCUCAACCGAAGAAGUGCAUCGGAAACUGGGAAACUUGAGUGCAGAAGAGGACAGUGGAACUCCAUGUGUAGCGGUGAAAUGCGUAGAUAUAUGGAAGAACACCAGUGGCGAAGGCGGCUGUCUGGUCUGUAACUGACGCUGAGGCUCGAAAGUAUGGGUAGCAAACAGGAUUAGAUACCCUGGUAGUCCAUACCGUAAACGAUGAAUGCUAAGUGUUGGAGGGUUUCCGCCCUUCAGUGCUGCAGCUAACGCAUUAAGCAUUCCGCCUGGGGAGUACGGCCGCAAGGCUGAAACUCAAAGGAAUUGACGGGGGCCCGCACAAGCGGUGGAGCAUGUGGUUUAAUUCGAAGCUACGCGAAGAACCUUACCAGGUCUUGACAUACUAUGCAAAUCUAAGAGAUUAGACGUUCCCUUCGGGGACAUGGAUACAGGUGGUGCAUGGUUGUCGUCAGCUCGUGUCGUGAGAUGUUGGGUUAAGUCCCGCAACGAGCGCAACCCUUAUUAUCAGUUGCCAGCAUUAAGUUGGGCACUCUGGUGAGACUGCCGGUGACAAACCGGAGGAAGGUGGGGAUGACGUCAAAUCAUCAUGCCCCUUAUGACCUGGGCUACACACGUGCUACAAUGGAUGGUACAACGAGUUGCGAACUCGCGAGAGUAAGCUAAUCUCUUAAAGCCAUUCUCAGUUCGGAUUGUAGGCUGCAACUCGCCUACAUGAAGUCGGAAUCGCUAGUAAUCGCGGAUCAGCAUGCCGCGGUGAAUACGUUCCCGGGCCUUGUACACACCGCCCGUCACACCAUGAGAGUUUGUAACACCCAAAGUCGGUGGGGUAACCUUUUAGGAACCAGCCGCCUAAGGUGGGACAGAUGAUUAGGGUGAAGUCGUAACAAGGUAGCCGUAGGAGAACCUGCGGCUG